ensembl:snoRNA
UGGAGGACUGAGAAGGUUAAGCAGCUUCCAGUGCUGUUAUAACUGGUUAUAGCCUCCAAAAGUAACUCACAAACCACUCUAUUAAGUGGCUCUGUUCUUGUUCAGAGCUGAUGUGCAGUGUGUUUGUGAACAACAC